UUUCACAAUCGGUGUUCAAGGAAAUAAUGCAUGAGUUCGAAUGUAUCCUGGCUGGCAAACCAACAAUAGGCGAUAACCAUAUCUGGAUACUUGGGUUUAUUCACAACAGCGAGCAACAUGUGCACACUUUCCCUCUACACCGGUUGUGAUUUCAAAGCUGGCUGCCUCAGUUAGGAUGGCGACCUCUCAGAAGUUAACAGACCACUUUCUGACAUGUACAAUAUGUACAGAGGUGUUUGACAACCCAUGCACACUUGCGUGUAAUCACACCUUCUGUCGGAAAUGUGUCAUCAGCUACACCAAAACCAAACCAGAAGCCAUCAGUGCCAAGUCUCUUCUGUGUCCAUUCUGCAGCAAGAUGACGAAAGUGUCUGAGCCUGGCAGACCAGUGGAGGAGUGGGCGGACGAUGUGAAGCCAAGCUUUGUGAUCCAGGGACUGUUGGACUCAUUUGGCCCUGGAUCUAAAGAUACAACUAACUGCCGUUAUUGUAAGGAAGAAGGGGAGACAACCCUUGCUACCUCCUGGUGCUCUGUCUGUGACGACGCCCUCUGUGAACGAUGUGUACGGAUGCACAAUCGCAAUCCAUCCUCCCGUCACCAUGACGUAGUCGGCAUGUCUCCAGAGGUCAAGGUCAGAAGAAGAAGGCAAGGGGUUAUGUGUAAGGAUCACAAAGAUGAGGUUAUAAAAUUGAUGUGCAAAGACUGUAAGAAAGCAGUUUGUCAAACAUGUUGUAUUAUCUAUCACAGAAAUUGUAGAUGUGUUGUCGAAAUUGAGUCAGAAAUACCAACAAUGAAAUCAGAGCUGGAAAAGAAUAAACAUAAUUUGUUGGAGAGGUGUGCUGAGAUAAAAGCACUCGUUGACAAACAGAAAACAACAUCCAAAGAGGAAUCAAAGCAUUAUUUACAAAUGGAGUCUGACAUUAAGUCUGCCACAAACAAAGUGAUUGAUAUGCUGAAACAGAAGGAAAAGAAGCUUCUCAGUGAGCUGAAAGAGAUGUCAGACAAACACCUAGGUCAGUUAAAAGCAGACAUAAAAUCAGGAGAGAUGUCAGUACAGGUGUACCAACAACAGGCUGAGUUGAUAGACCAGGCUCUACAAUCUGAGUGUGACAUGGACGUGUAUGAGAUGUAUCGGGGAUGUGAGGCCGGUGAUGUGGACGCUGUUACAGACGUGAAGGAGAGGGGGAGAAUAGCCAGAACCGUUUUCAGACAGGACACAGGCCAGCUGAGUAGAGCACUUGACGAUCUACAGCUGGGUGAGAUUGAUGUCCAGUAUGAGAGUGUGCUGGACAUGAAGGCAACUCCUAUGUUACACAACACUAUUAACGCCACAGUCGGAGACAUUGAAGAAGCAUAUCUUGUAGACAUCACAGUGGUUGUUGUGAAUGGUGUAGAUACGGUCGUUGUCACAGACGCACUUAACAAAAGUGUGAAGUCCUUCUACACAAGUAAUAACAAAGUGUUCCACUGUAAGCUCAGUCUCGGUGACACGCCGUGGGGUAUAACAAGGCUGAAACACAACCAGGUGGCUGUCACUCUGUCAGAUACCAGUCAGAUUGUAACAGUUGAAGUCAACCCUGACCUUGUGUUGCUGUCAACCAUCACAACCAGCAAACAGUACUCGGGUAUAACGUCUCUGACACCAUCAACACUAGCAGCGGGUUCCGAGUCCCCUCCCUGUGUUGAUAUCCUAGAUAUGACGGGACACGUGAUGAGGAGUAUCAGUCCACUCCACAAUGGAAACAACAUAUUACAAGCACCAUUAUUCCUCUGUACUACGAGUAAAGGAAACAUCCUUGUGUCUGAUUUGAAAUCCAAGUGUGCUGUUUGUUUGACCCCUGGGGGAGAUGUGGUGUUCACCUACAGCCCUACAGGAGCCACAGCACUGGAGCGUCCAGCUGGUAUCACAGCUACCAGCACAGGUGACAUCCUGGUUACCGAUAGCUCUCUAGAGAGGGUCAUCCAUCUGACUGAGUCGGGGACGUUUGUGAGAAAUAUUCUGACAUCCCAGGAUGGUAUUGAGGGUCCCUGGGGUCUGUGUCUAGAUAGGUCUGGCUAUAUGUACGUGUGCAUGUCAAAUGUGGUUACGGUUUUCUCACUGCACUAGAUGGGGAUAGGACUAAACCAAGUUUUGUUAUAACAGCUACAGGACGGUGGGUGUAGCCUAGUGGUUAAAGCGUUCGCUCGUCACGCCAAAGACCCGGGUUCGAUUCCCCACAUGCGAACAAUGUGUGAAGCCCAUUUCUGGUGUCCUCCGCCGCUACAUAGCUGGAAUAAUUGCAAAAGGCUGCGUUAAUCUAAACUCACUAACUCACUAUAACAGCUAUACGGUCUUUGUUGUGUUGCUCAGGGGUGUGUCUGUUUUGGACUGUGAUUGUCAGCAUUUUGGAAACAUCAAAUAUGUUGGUAUCAUAAUGUUUAGUAUGCGGGUUCGGGAAGUUCAUGAUUUGUCACAAGUGUGUCUUGAGCCAAACCCUAAUUAUAUUACUUAGGGUUUUGUUUCCCCUUGCUGUUUAAGCAGUGAGAAAAUGACAAAUAGGAGUAUGACAAUUUGAGUAUGACUGAUAAAUGGAUUAUAUAAUCAUGGUAACAAUGUUACAUAUGUAUCUCCCACUGAGUCGACAGAUAUGGAUAAUAUGGAUAAUAAGAAUAAACAUUCACUAUGAGAGUCUUUAAACAGCAGCACGCACAACACAUUGUGCAAACCUGCCCUUCAGGAUUUUACUGCGCAUCACUCAAUAAUAUAGCAAAAUUUAUCUCCCUUAGACCGGUGAGAAAUUGCAAAUAUGCUCUUACCUUGCGGCGGUUGAAGCCUCAUGAUGCAUAUUUCGCACACGGUGUGACUGGAUUCAGUUUAAUGUACAGAAAGGUUGAGUGGAUUACAUCACGUGACACAUCCCAGCUAGUUGACUUAUGUUGACGGACUGGAAAAAGGUAAAUGUUUGAAAAGCAGAUUAUUACACUCUUUGUGUCAUGGGUAUGUCAGAAUAGGUAAGUUUCGUCCGGGUCGAAUAUGUCGCCAUGUUGUUCACCCAGUCUGGUCUACUGGUAUCAAACUGAUGUGGAAACCCACAUCGUUCAUGUUCGUCUUAAUAUACUUUGAUCUGGAGACAUUGACUCUAAAUCGGGUGACAUUCUUCUUCGGGCGAAGGAUUUUUCUGCGGAAAAUAUUGCUGGUACCGGUCUCAGUUUAUCUCCUUUCAUGGCAAAGUUGAUGUGUUCACUUGGGUACUUGAUGAAAAGAUUUAAACACUGGGAAAUCGGAAUAACCCUAUUUCUCAUGGGAUGCUGGAUGAAGAAAGUCUUGGGAAUCAAAAGAAAGAUAACGAAAACGUCAUCUCGUUGUUUGCUUAAACUGUACAACAGUGGGCAACAAUAACAAUGGCGAAAACAGAUGACGAACAGCUGAUUUAUCGACUGGUCUUAUUCAAAGCUGGAUGAAGAAAGUCAUGCGAAUCAAGAGUAAGAAAGUCUCCAACGGAAACGUCUACUCGCGACUUUAACUUUCCUAAAACUGUAGAGUGGGCAACAAAAACAACGGGGACAACAGAUGACCAACAGCUGAUUUAUCGACAGGUCGUCCCUACAUCUUCUUCAACAGCCAACACCAACAGAGACUCUAUAGGAAUAUGGCCGUGAUCUUAGUGACAUAGCUUGUCAGUAUCUAUAUCAUGAUGAUGCUGACAUCCACUGUACUAGGAGAGAAAUACAUCUUUAUUCUCAAAACAUUAACGCAUUAACGGUUUGAUAUCUAAAUGUUGUUAUUCUGAAUUCAUUGAUUUCUGUUGCAUGCACGAUGUGUUUUCUUUAUUGAAACAAUGUUUAAUGUUGUUUCAGAUGCUAUGCUAAGAGUCUUUGUUAUACAUGACUGCUAUAUAAGUGAACUUCCACGAGCAUCAAACCCAGGAGAUAUUCUGGUGGUAUAGCUGUAUGCUAAGUGGAUCUUGUGAUAUGUUUAUUCUACGGAGAAGGGAAACCUGUUGUAUUUACUACAAAAAAACAUUAUUAACUAUUUCUUCCUUUAUAAACCGAAGAGAUCGCCCUACUAUGAAAAACUAAAAGUGUGGAUUUGGGCAGUUAUAAGUAUUCUGUUACAAAUAGUAUAUGCCUAUUGUGAGAUGUGUUCAUUCAUGUUAUGUGGUGACUUUAAUGCCAGAACAUCCAAUGAUUGAGAUUUUAAUCCAAAUGAGUGAGUAAGUGAGUAAUUGAACGAGUUUAGUUUUACUCCGCACUCAGCAAUAUUCGAGCUAACAUUGCGGUGGUAAUCCAAAUGAUGAUGUGUCACACCGACAAGGAUGUAUGCUAAGCCCCUAUGGUUUUCAUGUUUCAUUAAUGAACUUGUGAUUGACAUGUAUGAAGGUUGUAACGUUGGUAUUUUGUAACUUGGGAAAUUGGGGAUAUUUUGCUUUUACAUUUUGCCUAGACAUUGUAACUUUAUCAUUUUCACGUUUAAACUUUUUUUUAUGUUAAUUGUGGAUAAAAGUAUUGUUAUUUUCCGUAACGGACGUAUUUAACACACCAUGAAAAGUGGAAAAUUUGUAACGCAGAACUGAAAGCUGUUACAUAAGCUGUUUUUAUAAGAAAUAGCCAAGUUUUACUUUUGUCAGUUCGUACCGGUUUUGAUUGUUAAAUUUAUCGAAUCCUUUUAUGUGGUGCAGAAAUUUGUUGAACUAAAUAUUAUAAUUUGACUGAAAUGAUUCACGCGUCUUUAAAGCAGUACAAAAGUUGGUAAAUUUGCAUCAAACAAGGCAUUUUUGGGUGAAGUGGUUCGCUCGGUAUCAGCUACUCAAGUUCGUGUUUUACAAUAAUAGAUCAAAUUGUAAAGAGCAAAUUAUGUCAGAUCUCACCAAUGUUAUACAAUGUUUAAUUUGCUUGAUGACAGAGGUAAAUGUAAAUGCUAUUGGGUUUCUGAAGUGAGGGGAAAUGUAAUGUUUACCUUGUUUUGAUUUGUUUUGAUUAUUCAAUAUGUAUCAAAUCAUUGUUAUUAUAUAUAUUUGGACAUGUGUCAGAGAUAUUUCAUCUUAGAACUGUUACUUCUAUGUACAAAGUUCAAAAUGUCAUCAACAUUACGCUUAUCAUAUUUUUUCCUCCAGCCUGGAAUGUAUAUGACACAUUUACUCGAUAAAUAAUUGAUACCUGC
rnacentral:misc_RNA from 1 species